UGGGGCAUAGCCAAGCGGUAAGGCAGCGGACUUUGACUCCGCUAUGCGAUGGUUCGAAUCCAUCUGCCCCAGCCA
rnacentral:tRNA from 1 species